rnacentral:rRNA from 1 species
AAUAUUCGACAAUGGGCGAAAGCCUGCUCCAGCCAUGCCGCGUGGGGGAGGAAGGUCUUCGGAUUUAAAAGCACUUUAAGUUGGGAGGAAGGGCAGUAAGGUAAUACCUUGCUGCUUUGAGGUUACCGACACAAUAAGCACCGGCUAACUCCGUGCCAGCAGCAGCGGUAAUACGAAGGGUGCAAGCGUUAACCGGAAUUACUGGGCGUAAAGCGCGCAUAGGUGGUUUGUUUACUUUGAAGUGAAAACCCCGGGGUCAACCUGGGAACUGCUGUCAAAAAUGGCAAGCAAGAGUAUGGCAGUGGGUGGUGGAAUAUCCUGUGUAGCGGUGAAAUGCGUAGAUAUAGGAAGGAACACAAGUGGCGAAGGCGACCACCUGUGCUAAUAAUGACACUGAGGUGCGAAAGCGUAGGGAGAAAACA